CUGUAUGAUAAAGAAAUGUUUUUUGUUAUCUGCUAAGGACUGUAGUAAAGCAUUUACGACGGUAAUGGACUGAAAUUCUUAGGACUUAAGGAUGUACUUAGGUGAGGUUUUGGGAUUUGUGUCAAAUGUUCGGACUCCUUGGUGUUUUUCCAUACAAUACAAUGUAAAAUAUUUUGCCCCAUAAACACCCAUUUAUUUUUUCAUAUAAGACUUAAUAGCUCAUGAAAGGUCAUUUACCAAAAUUUUAGAAGAUUCUUGAUUUUCUUUCUUUUCUUUUGAGACCCAAAUAAUACCAAUGCAAAUAUAAGGUAUAAGUCCGAGUCCGUCUUUACCCGCCAUAUUUUAAAUCUCAAAUAUCUCGAAAAGGAGGUCCAUGACCUAUCAAUAUUUUUAGCUUAUCUUUAUCCUUAAUUGAUGCUCUACCAGCUUAUAGUAUCAAUUUUAAUUUCUUAAUUUCUUAAUUUUUACCUAACCUCACCUAAGUACAUCCUUAAACAGCCACCUGUAUGACUCUAAGGACUAAUUUCGUUGUCUGCGUAGUACUGUAGAAAUCAGGAGCGGUUUAACGACGGCAAUGGACGGAAAUUCUUAAGACAUUCAGUCUCUAAUGAUGUGUUGGCAAUUGUUUACAUAUUAAAGGCAAAAC
rnacentral:lncRNA from 1 species